ACCUGUGUUAUCAAUAUAUUUCACGAGUUGUAGUAAAACGUAAUUGCACGAAAUAAAUAAAUAAAACUCGCAAGCAAUAUCGCACGCGGCAAAUAGCAAACAUUAUGCAAACUGCGAAUACUGCACAAGCCGUACCCAGCAACUAGCGUUUUGAAAAGAGCCUCAAAACGCAGGAAAAUUCGCAGAAAAGAUACCCACAGUAAUUGUCCAGUUAAGUAUUUAGCAUUUACUAAAGUUGCAGAAAUAGAAACUAAAUUACAGUCACGUUAGAAAAUUAACAUUUUUCAAACGAAAAAAAAAACACUAGAGAAAAACAAAAGGAAAUUGGAAGAAAAAAGAAGAGAGUAUAAAACAAAUUGUUUGGUCCCGAAAAGUGUCAAAGUGAGUUGUGUUACCUGUACCGUCUGGGUUAAAUAUAUUUGCGGGCGGCGCAAGGGCAACUCCCGAAAUUUCUUUGCAUUGCUCUUCGUCUGAAUGGUCAGCGCAAUCGUAUUGACCAUCACAUUGUUCGGUUAGUGGUGUCUAAAUAUAUGCAAAUCGUAAUACAUGCAAACAUCAUGCACACAACCAACACCGGCAGGGCAACCGGAAACAAAAAUUAAAAUCAACACCUAAAUAAUAAAAUCAACCAGAGGAAAAUAAAUUAAAAAAGAAUAACAACCAUGAAGGAACUAAAGAAAUUGGGUACAAAAACAAAAUAUGUUUCAAUAUCCCAGGAAGAUUUAAGAAUAAACGAAAAAAAUAUUUUCAAAGAGAGCCACCCCCUUACCGCGACACUUAGCAGGAU